rnacentral:piRNA from 1 species
UGUGAUUGUCCUACACCCAGAGCAAAAUGA